UUUCCUCCAUGCCCAAGGGCCUAGGAAAUUGUUGGUGUUCCGAAGCUGCAUUGCUUUCUUUCUACGGGAAUAGUUUCACAUAGCGACCUGUCCCAACACCUAUGAUUUGCAUUGUGGACCAAAGGCCAGUGUGAAGACCAGAGCCACAGAAGAGCCCACCAGAAAGUGUGUGAGAAUACUCAAUGGUACUCUGGCAAUUAUUUUCAUGGCUGAAAGUUGAACACCCAGGCACAGAACCAUUGUGAUAGAACAGCGACGUGUGUAGAAG
rnacentral:lncRNA from 1 species